ACGCUGGCUACAGGCUUAACACAUGCAAGUCGAGGGGAAACGACGGGGAAGCUUGCUUCCUUGGGCGUCGACCGGCGCACGGGUGAGUAACGCGUAUCCAACCUGCCUCUGACUGAGGGAUAACCCGUCGAAAGUCGGCCUAAUACCUCAUGGUAUCGUCUGCGGGCAUCCAAUGACGAUUAAAGAUUUCAUCGGUCAGGGAUGGGGAUGCGUCUGAUUAGCUUGUUGGCGGGGUAACGGCCCACCAAGGCGACGAUCAGUAGGGGUUCUGAGAGGAAGGUCCCCCACAUUGGAACUGAGACACGGUCCAAACUCCUACGGGAGGCAGCAGUGAGGAAUAUUGGUCAAUGGGCGAGAGCCUGAACCAGCCAAGUAGCGUGCAGGAUGACGGCCCUAUGGGUUGUAAACUGCUUUUAUGCGGGGAUAAAGUGAGGGACGUGUCCUUCAUUGCAGGUACCGCAUGAAUAAGGACCGGCUAAUUCCGUGCCAGCAGCCGCGGUAAUACGGAAGGUCCGGGCGUUAUCCGGAUUUAUUGGGUUUAAAGGGAGCGUAGGCCGUGGAUUAAGCGUGUUGUGAAAUGCAGGUGCUCAACGUCUGCACUGCAGCGCGAACUGGUCCACUAGAGUGUGCACAACGCAGGCGGAAUUCGUCGUGUAGCGGUGAAAUGCUUAGAUAUGACGAAGAACUCCGAUUGCGAAGGCAGCUUGCGGGAGCACAACUGACGCUGAAGCUCGAAAGUGCGGGUAUCGAACAGGAUUAGAUACCCUGGUAGUCCGCACGGUAAACGAUGGAUGCCCGUUGUCAGGCUGUUUCAGCCUGGUGACCAAGCGAAAGCAUUAAGCAUCCCACCUGGGGAGUACGCCGGCAACGGUGAAACUCAAGGAAUUGACGGGGGCCCGCACAAGCGGAG
rnacentral:rRNA from 1 species